GUCGGUUAGUCGGCACGAGCGCACCCUAUCGUUAGUUACCAGCAUUAAGUUGGGGACUCUAGUGAGACUGCCGGUGAUAAACCGGAGGAAGGUGGGGAUGACGUCAAGUCCUCAUGGCCCUUAUGUCUGGGGCUACACACGUGCUACAAUGGUGACUACAGAGGGCCGCGAAGCCGCGAGGUGGAGCAAAUCCCUUAAAAGUCAUCUCAGUUCGGAUUGGAGUCUGCAACUCGACUCCAUGAAGCUGGAAUCGCUAGUAAUCGCGGAUCAGCAUGCCGCGGUGAAUACGUUCCCGGGCCUUGUACACACCGCCCGUCACACCAUGGGAGUUGGCCGCGCCCGACGUCGUGACCCUAACCUUCGGGAGGGGAGCGCCUACGGCGAGGUCGGCGACUGGGGUGAAGUCGUAACAAGGUAGCCCUAGGGGAACCUGGGGCUGGAUCACCUCCUUU
rnacentral:rRNA from 1 species